GACGAACGCUGGCGGCGUGCCUAAUACAUGCAAGUCGAACGAGAGCGACCGGUGCUUGCACCGGUCACUCUAGCGGCGAACGGGUGAGUAACACGUGGGUAACCUGCCCAUCAGAGGGGGAUAACAUCCGGAAACGGAUGCUAAAACCGCAUAGGUCUUCGAACCGCAUGGUUCGAUGAUGAAAAGAGGCGCUAGCUUCUGCUGUUGGUUGGACCCGCGGUGCAUUAGCUAGUUGGUAAGGUAACGGCUCACCAAGGCCGGGAUGCGUAGCCGACCUGAGAGGGUGAUCGGCCACAUUGGGACUGAGACACGGCCCAAACUCCUACGGGAGGCAGCAGUAGGGAAUCUUCCGCAAUGGACGCAAGUCUGACGGAGCAACGCCGCGUGAGUGAAGAAGGUUUUCGGAUCGUAAAACUCUGUUGUUAGAGAAGAACAAGUGCGAGAGUAACUGUUAGCGUCUUGACGGUAUCUAACCAGAAAGCCACGGCUAACUACGUG
rnacentral:rRNA from 1 species